GGACAGUGCACUUUCCCGSGUUUCAUCCAGGUUCUCCAUAGACGUACGACCAAGAGGAGAAACACGAGCUGUAAAACGCAGGCGCAGAUCUCCACUUUGGAAAGCCCACACCGGAGUCUCAGAUGCAGCGUCUUGGAGGAGAGGAGAGCAAGGAUAGCUGCAAAACGCCCACCCGGCCUGAGUGGGAUGUGUUCACCUGCAAAGAGAGGACGAACUCUAAACCCUGCUUCGGUACUUCCACCCUCUGAACAGCACAGAUAUGGUGAGAUGAUCUGCCUCGGCAGAGCCUUUUCCGAGCCCUUGCUUUCAAACCAGCCUGUGGAUCUCGUGCACAUACUGUGAGAGAGACAACAGGGUUUAAAAUGCCUUAAAAUGCGAGGGUUUUAACCCACAAGUUUCCACACCUACAUGGUUUUGUGGGUGUGAAUGUUGACAUCAAGCUGCUUGAGUAAAAC
rnacentral:lncRNA from 1 species